rnacentral:rRNA from 1 species
GCCUACGGGACGCAGCAGUGAGGAAUAUUGGUCAAUGGUCGGGAGACUGAACCAGCCAAGCCGCGUGAGGGAUGAAGGUACAGAGUAUCGUAAACCUCCUUUGUCAGGGAACAAAGGCGGGGACGUGUCCCCGGAUGAGUGUACCUGAAGAAAAAGCAUCGGCUAACUCCGUGCCAGCAGCCGCGGUAAUACGGAGGAUGCGAGCGUUAUCCGGAUUUAUUGGGUUUAAAGGGUGCGCAGGCGGUCUGUUAAGUCAGCGGUCAAAGCCCGGGGCUCAACCCCGGCCCGCCGUUGAAACUGGCCGG